UGGGGAAUAUUGGACAAUGGGCGAAAGCCUGAUCCAGCCAUGCCGCGUGUGUGAAGAAGGUCUUCGGAUUGUAAAGCACUUUAAGUUCGGAGGAAGGGCAUUAACCUAAUACGUUAGUGUUUUGACGUUACCGACAGAAUAAGCACCGGCUAACUCUGUGCCAGCAGCCGCGGUAAUACAGAGGGUGCAAGCGUUAAUCGGAAUUACUGGGCGUAAAGCGCGCGUAGGUGGUUUGUUAAGUUGGAUGUGAAAUCCCCGGGCUCAACCUGGGAACUGCAUUCAAAACUGACUGACUAGAGUAUGGUAGAGGGUGGUGGAAUUUCCUGUGUAGCGGUGAAAUGCGUAGAUAUAGGAAGGAACACCAGUGGCGAAGGCGACCACCUGGACUAAUACUGACACUGAGGUGCGAAAGCGUGGGGAGCAAACA
rnacentral:rRNA from 1 species